GAUGAACGCUGGCGGCGCGCCUAACACAUGCAAGUCGAACGGUUAAAGCACCUUUUAGGUGUGUAUAAAGUGGCGAACGGCUGAGUAACACGUGGGCAACCUGCCCUCCUCUUGGGGAUAGCCUCGGGAAACCGAGGAUAAUACCCGAUACUUCAAUGUGGCCGCAUGACGACAUUGAGAAAGCUUUUGCGGAGAAGGAUGGGCCCGCGGCCUGUUAGCUUGUUGGUGGGGUAGAGGCCUACCAAGGCAAUGAUGGGUAGCUGGGUUGAGAGACCGACCAGCCAGAUUGGGACUGAGACACGGCCCAGACUCCUACGGGAGGCAGCAGUGGGGAAUCUUGCACAAUGGGCGAAAGCCUGAUGCAGCGACGCCGCGUGCGGGACGAAGGCCUUCGGGUUGUAAACCGCUUUCAGCAGGGACGAGGCGAUAAGUGACGGUACCUGCAGAAGAAGCCCCGGCUAACUACGU
rnacentral:rRNA from 1 species